CCCUUAGAUGUUCUGGGCCGCACACGCGCUACACUGAAGGAGGCAGCGUGUACUCCUGGAUCGAAAGAUUUGGGUAACCCGCGAAUCUCCUUCGUGCUAGGGAUUGAGGUUUGCAAUUAUCCUUCAUGAACGAGGAAUUCCCAGUAAGUGCAAGUCAUAAGCUUGCGCUGACUACGUCCCUGCCCUUAGUACACACCGCCCGUCGCUACUACCGAUUGAAUGAUUUAGUGAGGACUUCGGACUGGGACCGAUGCGGCUUUCGGGCUGCGUCGGUAUUCUGGAAAGAUGUCCAAACUGUAUCAUUUAGAGGAAGUAAAAGUCGUAACA
rnacentral:rRNA from 1 species